GGCGGGGAGGUGCUGCGCAAUGGCGUCGCCUGCCGCGGUGCGGCCCCAUCUCAGCACCUGCGGCUCCGACCCGCUGCCCAGCGGCCCCAGCAGGCCUCGGGGGGAGCCUUCCCCGGGGGGGCGCUUUGGAGGAGCGGCCCUGCGGGCUGAGGCCCCCGAGUCGGGCUGGGGUUCAAGCAGCGGGGCCUGGUUUGGGCGCAGAGGGCCGCCACUGGGCUCAGUGCCAUCACCACACACCUCCCUGUGCGGCCAGGGCCAGCUUUAGAAGUCGCACCAUCCAUUAAUUCCUCAUAAUAAACUUGCCAAACGUUGCAUUUAAGCAGUUUGGUGUCCAGAUUGAUCGAUGCCACUAUUAAACCAGGCUUCACGCUCACACUUGAGCUUUCGGAGUAGCUAACAGUCAGCAAGUCGCGGCCACCCCAUCCAUCCUCCCGGAGCGAUUGAGCUGACCGCUGAACAGAGACUCGGUGUGAUGCCGACUGAAAGCGAAUCGAUGUUACCGAGCCCGUCGGACACCUCGCAGCAGAGCUACGGGCCGCAUUGGGCUGCGAGGCGUGCGGGGGCUGACCGUCGGCACGCUGUACUGAUGGCGCGAUUUCUCACUGAUGCCCAGAGCAUUUUCUAUAUGCAGUGAAAUCUCCUGAAUGUACGAGGAUGAAGAGAACAGUAGUAAAGUAGAAACAAGAGGAAGAGCAGAAACCGCAGGUACUUCUGGGUUUACAUGCAUAUUCAUGAAAUGCCCUGUUCAAUCAGGGACGUCUUUGUAUUUUUAGUUUCUCAAAGCAACAAGAGCUUCUUUAUAACUUAUUCUGUAGAUUUGUAGUUGUUGAAAUCUCUCCUACAGAUAAAACUCAUCAAAAAAAAUCCACACUGCUGAGCCUUUUUAUUAUUAUUAUUAUUAUUAUUAUUAUUUGACACUCACAUUACAAAAUUUAGAAACCAUAGACAGUUCAGGCAAACUGUUAAAACACAGUAUAAAUUAAGGUUUUUUAAUAUAUAAAUUCUAUACAUAGGUAAGUUAGCUCAAACAUGACUGACAAAAGGAUUUCAUAACAAUCUUACCACAACUGUAUAAAAAGGCAUGGGAGUAGGAUGGGCACUACAGUCAUGAAUGCAGGUUAAGACAUUUUCCACAACAGCUAUAAAGCGUAACAAUGACCAUGCUAUUCUUGCAGUGUUUAUGUGGGGUACAGUAUGCAUAUUACCAUUAACAUUUUGCAAGGUCUAUGUACAGUCACAAAAUCAUAAUAGCCACUUUCAAGUAACCUUACUGUUUUCUGCCUGUGCAAUUAAUAAAGUGUCAGUAUUUGUUUGAGGACUUCUAAUUAAAAAAGCUGUAUGUUUUCAGUAUUA